rfam:Triticum urartu cultivar G1812 contig238046, whole genome shotgun sequence.
UUCAUACUCCCUCCGUCCUGAAUUACUUGUCUUAGAUUUGUCUUAAGAUAUGGACGUAUCUAGACAUGCUUCAGUGUUAGAUACGUCCGUAUCUAGACAAAUCUAAGACAAGUAAUUUGGGGCGGAGAUAAUACUGU